rnacentral:rRNA from 1 species
GACGAACCGUGCGAACGUUGUUCGGAAUCACUGGGCUUAAAGGGCGCGUAGGCGGGCUGUCAAGUCUGGGGUGAAAUCCCACGGCUCAACCGUGGAACUGCCUCAGAUACUGACGGCCUCGAGGAAGGUAGGGGCAUGCGGAACUGUAGGUGGAGCGGUGAAAUGCGUUGAUAUCUACAGGAACUCCGGUGGCGAAGGCGGCAUACUGGACCACUUCUGACGCUGAGGCGCGAAAGCCAGGGGAGC